UACGUAGGGUGCAAGCGUUGUCCGGAAUUAUUGGGCGUAAAGAGCUCGUAGGCGGUUUGUUGCGUCGGCUGUGAAAACCUGAGGCUCAACCUCAGGCCUGCAGUCGAUACGAGCAGACUGGAGUGUUGCAGGGGAGACUGGAAUUCCUGGUGUAGCGGUGAAAUGCGCAGAUAUCAGGAGGAACACCGGUGGCGAAGGCGGGUCUCUGGGCAACAACUGACGCUGAGGAGCGAAAGCGUGUGGAGCAAACAGG
rnacentral:rRNA from 1 species